CUUCAGUGCUCUGAGAGUGUUUAUAGUGCUGUGAGUUUAACACUUCAUCACUGACACACACAACAAUCUUCAUCAACAUGACCUUCAUCAUCAUCUUCAUCUGGACUCUCACAGCGUUUGCUCAAGAGUGUAGAGGACAGAUCAGCGUCACUCAGAGUCCCUCAACAGCAGCAGCUCAACCAGGAGAAACAGUGAAGAUCAGCUGCAAAACCAGCACUGAUGUGUACAAUGAUGGUUCUGAUGAUUAUUUAUCCUGGUACUUACAGAAACCUGGAGAAGCUCCUAAACUCCUGAUUUACUGGGCUAACCGCCUCUACUCAGGAACUCCAUCUAGAUUCAGUGGCAGUGGAUCUAACAGUGAUUUCACUCUGACCAUCAGUGGAGUCCAGACUGAAGAUGCUGGACAUUAUUACUGUCAGAGUGCACACUACAUCAGUAGUAGCUGGGUGUUCCCACAGUGAUAAAGCGUCGUACAAAAACCUGUGUCAGUCAGAGUCACAGUGACUGA